rnacentral:lncRNA from 1 species
UGCAUCCAAGUUCCAACGAGUUUCAAGAACUCCACGAAAUGCUUACACCUAGAUAUCAUCAAACAACUGAAUUAAAGUGCAGUACGGAAGAGCCAUCCCUCAAGUGUCCAAGUUCAGAGGGAUCUCAUGGGUCCCAAGGAAAGGAUCACAAGAGGGGGCAGAACUUAGAUUCUAGGAACAAGUGUAAGUGUAAUAGAGGGAAUUAGGAGAUGCCAAGUAGGCUCGUUGUCAUGCCCAGCAACAUGGAGUACUGGCACACCCCUGACCAAGCUUGUUAGCCAAACAUUGGAGAGUAAGGACCGAUUGAAGGUCAAUCAAUGGCCUGGGCAGCAAUUAAAAUACUGUCAGGCCAAAACAUUAACUCAGCACACAUAGUAAUGGAAUGGGGAUGGGAAAAUGAAAAAGCUUAUGACCCAAAGAGUCCAGUUCAUAUCAAUGGACAAUAACAUCAGUUAUAUUGCCAUAUUUUUGAACCAUAGCUGAAAACACAUAAAGGGGUAUAGGAAUGUGAUUCAUUAAAAGAAGUAAGCAGGAUAUAAUCACAUUGCACAAAGAUUAAACACUUCAGACGUUAAAGUAAACAUGGACAUAAGAACUGAUAAGUAAACACAUUGGAGUUAGGGCUGGAAUUAGCACUAGGAUAUACCAAUUUCAGACAGCAAAGAAAGUAGAAAUCAUUUAACAUGUCACAAUACAAACAACAAGAGUAUACUUAUGUGUGUGAGUAUGAGUUCAGAAAAGGAUUCGAGUAUUGGUUGUGUGUUUGUGUUAAGAAAGGAGAAGGAAUUUAUAGUUUGAAAUUAGGCAAGGAACAAGGCAAGAAAAUAAUCAUGUAUCAAUUAGAAUCAGUUAAUAGCAGAAAUUCCUUUACUUAAGGAGUUCAAAUUCAAACAGUAAAGGGCAGAAGUUAUUUAAGGAAGGAGAUCAAGUAAACAUAUUGUUCAUAGCAUACAAAUAAGGGGUAAAUACACAUGUGUUUUAACUAAGGGAUGAAAGUUUGAAAUACACGGUUAAGUAAAUAAGACAAGAACAACGUAAAUCAAUUAGUACAUAGUAAAUCAGGGAAUCAGGGAUUCUAAAAUCACUAAUGAACCAAACCAGGAAUAGGGGAAUCAAAAGGUUAAAGAGAUUUUUCAAAUUAAACAAGGAAAGAAUCAAUCAUGAUUACACAAGGAAAUCUAAAAUUAGUCACAAAAUUGAAUGCCAUUCUAGAGGAACAACCAGUGUAUAUAAAGAAUACACAACAUUGGGCGUGUGAGGUUAAAUCAUGGCAAAGAGAAACAGUAGUGCUAUCUAAACAUGAUACUCAUAUACGCUAGCCUAGUAACAGGGAGAAGGGGGUAUCAGAAUCAUGCCAAAGAGGUCAAGUAAAAGAAGUCAGAACCACAUGGAGAAACAAAGUUGAAACAAAGAGUAAAAAACUUCAGCAACUUAGAGAUUAAGGUUUUGACACCAAGCAAGCUUAGAGAUGAGAAGAAUAUAAAUCACGAAUAAAGUGGCCUCAAAACUCGAAUGAAACCUCCAAAUUCUAGGGUUUUUACCAUUAAUCAAGUCUAGAUACGAAAAUAAGCAAGUCAGGAAAAAAAACUAACGAAAUAAGUUAAAAAAACUCAAAGGGACUGAGAACUUAAACAUGUAAUUCCCAGAAAACUUCAUGAAAACCAAUAAAAUAAAAAUUGUGCAAAAUACAGUAGGGAAAUCAUCACAACAAGGUAUAUGAAAACACAUUAGCCGAAAAGACAUAUGAAUCACAGUAAAGCAUAUAGAUUCAGAGAAACCAUAAGUCGGAGAAGAUGAAAGGUUUGCGAGCAAAAUUUUCAAAGAAAAAUUGGGAAAUCAUUUGAAACCUUAAAAUAAACAUAGAUCUAGAACAGAUCUAGAGAAAUAAGGAGAACCUUAAAAGGCUAUGGUUUCAAAAGAACCCUAGAAGCGAGAAACCCUAGAAAAGUCAUGAUCUAAGUCAGAGGAUAUCACAAUCAGGCUCAAAAGAACAAGAACCACCGGAGCAAUGCCGAAGAUGGCCAUGAUCUUCGAAUAGAUGAAAGUUUAAGUGAAGACCCUCAAGGUCUGGCCUCGAUCCUUCAAACAACGGGCUGGCAGGAGCCAUAGGAGGCAGGUACAUGCCUUCCAUGGCUUUGGAAGCCAUGAAUUCCGGUGGUUUUGGGUGGUAACUGGAGGGGGGCGACUGGGAAUAGGUCUCAGGCCUUAGAGGGAAUCAGAUAGGAGAGGGUAUUCAAGGACUGCAGGUUAGGAGAAAUGAGGGAAUUAGGGUGGUCAUUUGGGUUAAAAAAC